rnacentral:tRNA from 1 species
GUCCCUGUAGAGCAAUGGAUAGCGCAUUGGACUUCUAAUCCAAAGGUCGUGGGUUCGAAUCCCACUUGGGAUG